rnacentral:lncRNA from 1 species
UGUUUCUAGAUUGGAACUAUUGCAAACAAUACUGCUAAUAAAUAUUUUGUGCAAGCAUCCUGAUAUGCAUAUAUAUGUAUGACUUCCUAAGAGAUGAAUUGCUGGUUCACAGAAGAUACCUGUGUUCCUUGACAUUACUGGAUGAUGAUUCCACACAGUUUUUGAGUAACACUUAAAACAGUUUUCCAAAGUUCUAUCUUUGGUAGCUUGAGUCCUGAAUAUAGUAAAUGUCGAUUAACUAGUUUCUUUGCUAUAGCAUAAUCAAAUUCUUUGUAAAGGGGAGAUGAAUUCUAGUCUUUGUCCCUCCUCAGCUAAGAUAAUUUGAUAUUUUAAGAUCUGACACUUGCAACAUCCCACAUUUGAACAUCAAUUAAAGAAACAAACUUACAAUUAAUUUCUAAUUAAAUGAGAAGUCAGUUCUAGGAAACAAGGCUAUAGGCACACUUGAUACAGAGCUCAGAUACUAUAAUAUGGUUUCUCUCUAGUUCCAUCUCUCUCUUCUUCUCACCCUCCCUCUCUCCCUCCUCCUAACUCUUCUUUUUCACUCCCUCCCCCGAAGUCUUGGCUCUGGGUUAUUGUGCUAAGGAAAAUGACAGUUGAGUUUAUAUUCAGAGUACUAUCUUUCCACCAAAAAAAGAGACAAACUCUAUGUGGAAGGAGACAAACUCCCCUGCAUGUAUUGGUGGGAAAGUCCUGGUGUGACACACAUUAGUUUUUUGGAAUUACCCCCCUUCCCUUAUUAUGAGAAUUUUGAGGGACAGAGUACCCAGGCUGCCACUUCAUCAAGAACGUGGAGUGGUUCCCCAGAGGCAAUGACAUCUGUGUAGACAUCUGAUUCAUUCCAACCAAAUAAUCAUUUGUUCACUUAUAUUUUGCUUCCUUUCCUUUCUGUAUUCCUGUUGCCCAGCAGGAUGGUUAGCACAUAAUAGGUGUUCAAUAAAACUUUGUUUAAUGAAUGAAAUAUAAGAAGUAUAGAGGGUCCACAAACUAAAAUUGCAUAAAGUGAUAUUUCUUUGACCAGACUUUUCCUCACGCAAUACACUUUAUAGAUGUUCUUAUAUAAUUAUUGCUGCAAAAUAUGUAAUUUUACUUCUUUCACCUUGUUUAGAGGCAGAGUUUUUGUGUUGUCAUGGUAAGUGAAUAUUUUCUAAACUGUUACAUUACAUACUUAGAAAAAUGGAAAUUGCAGCCCUGGAUUCUAUAUGUUUCAAACAGUACCAGAUGCCAUGAAGUCAUAUGCAGAUGUCUUACAUCUAUAAAAUUAUAGUAACAGUUGGGUUUCUUCGUCUGAAUAUUUCUGCUUAUAAGGGUUAACUAGCCUAGAAGGCAGUGGAAACUGAAACCUUCUGUUCAGCUAUGGGGCCAAAAUGAUGCAAUCAGCCAUAUCGGAUGCACAGUUAAUAUUCUCAACCUGACAUGGAAAGAGCUGCCUUGAUGAAUGUAGAACUUGUGGGGAGAUCAGAGAAGAGACUGCAUGCUCCACUGUUGGCUACUGGAGAUCAGAGAAGAGACUGCAUGCUCACUGUUGGCUACUGCAUGCUCACUGUUGGCUACUGCAGGUGAAAGGCUAAGUCUGACCUAGUUGAAUGAAUUACAGAACCCAUUCAAAUGGGAGGAAUAUUUCAGGAUCAAGGUCUGUCCUGUUGCAACAUGCUCUCCAACUGAAGUGGCCAUGAUAACACUGGAAAAGAAUGUAGAAUCUCCAGUAGCCUUAGGCUUGAUUUACUUGCAACUUUUGUUUCUAAGUCAAGCCACAAAGUAUCAUUGUACUUUGUAUACAUUUUUCUGGUUUUAGGGGGAACCUCUGUCUCCUUCUCCCAUUCACCUAGAAAACUCCCAGCCAUCUAUCAAAUAUGAGCUCCCAUUCUAUCUCCUCCAUGCAGUCUUCCCUCAAUUCCCCUGGAUAGGCUUGAAUAUUCUUUCCAUGUUGGGUCCUAAGGAAACUUAUGCAUGUCUCUAAGAAAGCUGGAAUUCCAUUAUAUCCAUAGAAUAUAGAAUAAUUGAUUACUGAUAUUUGACUCCUCACUACAGAGUGAGUGACAUAAAGCAGUAGAAUAUUUCUUUUCAUCUUUGAACUGCAACCCCAGGAACAGAAAAAAGAUUCAAUAGCUAUUGCUAAAUGGAUUUAUUUGUGAUUUGAUAUGAUGCUUCAAAGUUUUCCAAACUCUUUAUUAUCCAUUACUUCAUCUAAACACCCCAACAAUGUUACCUGGUAGGCAAACCAGAUGUAAUAAUCUUCAUUUUACUGAUGAGAAAACUGAGUCAUGAAAAUUAUAUGUGAUUUGCUCAGAACCAACAGUUUAUGAGUAUCAGGAUUAAAUUAGAAAGCAGGGCUUCUGACUAACCAGUCUAUGUCAAGCCUUUAAUUCUUGCACAGAAUAAGAGGCAUUGCCUUAGCACUACCAGAUCUUAAAAAAUGUAGGUGGGCCAGUGGGGAUACUUUGUUUAAUCCUUCAAUACCUGGCAUUUUCCUCUAUCUUCCAGCUGUAUUUGAAUCUUGGGUUUUAGAUUCUUGGUAACAACAUAACAGUAUUUCUCUGGAUUGCUUUUAUUGCUCCUGCUCCUAUCCAAUGCACAGUGUUCUCAUUGCUGGCCCCACUUCUCUUUUUUUAAGUACACCUGAUGUUCCAAUGUAGGGCAACCCAGUGUCCCUUCUUUUACUGCUGUUCCACAUGGAUUGACAUUUCUAUAUGAAUUAUGGAUUAAAAAUAAUGACUACUACUCCUAAUUGCUAAUAUUUCUGAAUGCUUGCUAUCUUCCAAGCAUAGUGUUCAAUAGCUAUUACCUCAUCUGAUCUGAGAACAAAGUCCUAAAACAGAACUCAUAUUAAAUCCACUUUACAAAGGAUGAAAUCAAAGCUCAAAGAAGUUAUGUAACAUGUCCCUUGAGACACAGGUAAUAAAUCUCAAGGGGAUUCUAACUAAAUGGCAUAAAUUUUUGAAGGAUGUCUUUAACACUACAGUAUUUACAGAUUUCUAUAAAAUCAACUAUGAUAGAGUAACAUAAACCUGAUAUCCACUAUAUAUGGAUAACAUGACUGGGAAAAAAUAGGUGAUGAAGUAACACAUCACUUACAUGAAAUGAUGGGGUGCUCAAAAAAUAUUGUCAGAUAUGGAGUUCCCGUCGUGGUGCAGUGGUUAAUGAAUCCGACUAGGAACCAUGAGAUUGCGGGUUCAGUCCCUGCCCUUGCUCAGUGGGUUAACGAUCCAACGUUGCCGUGAACUGUGGUGUAGCUUGCAGACUCGGCUUGGAUCCCGCAUUGCUGUGGCUGUGGUAUAGGCUGGCAGCUACAGCUCCAAUUAGACCCCUAGCCU